CACAAACCCUAGCACAAACACAAGUCACAAGGCUCCUCACCUGGCCUCAGCCCUCGGUGUCCCCCAAACUGGCCUAACUGGUGGCGCCUGAGCCAGGACAGCUGAAUGACCAGCCGGGGCCCCGGAACCAGGGGUGGGAUCAAGAAGAGAGACAGGUGCACGGCGAUCAUCAGUACAGGCACAGCUUUGUCCACCCAGGACUCCUGCCACUGGGUCCCUGAAUGUUCCUCCCUGAGCGGGCAAUGAGAGAGUAAGCCCCCACUUUCCUCCUUCUUCCUGCUGCUUUUGCCACCGCCUCCCACUUCUUGAUAAGAAUCUGAGUGAAGCGCCUGCCAGGACACGGCUGGAUCUCUUAAAACACAAGGGGAAAUGUUUAUGUUUCCUCUCCACCCUGCCGGGUCACCUCCUCCAGGGUACUGCCAGCCAAGGGCACUGCCUGGUGAGACGAAUCAGAGUUUCAGCUACGGGGAGUUUGUCUGACAUGCAGUCACACACGUGGACACACACAUAUAUCCUGGCACACGGUAAGCACAGGCACCCAGGGACCCCAGGGUAAGUCUGGAAGUUGUGUGACCACAAAUGUGUAUGUACACAGGCACCCUCUCGCAUAUAAGUAAGAAGUAAUGUACAUAAACCCAAAGCAUAUCCCCUGCAUGGGUGCCUGAUAUCUGUGUUUGCAUGCUCAGCUUGUAACCUCACUCGUGCAUGUGUGCGUGCAUCCUCAGUCAUUUCAGUCAUGUCUGACUCUUCACGACCCCAUGGACUGUAGCCCACCAGGCUCCUCUGUCCAUGGGAUUCUCCAGGCAAGAAAAGGAGUGGGUUGCCAUGCCCUCCUCCAGGGGAUCUUCCUGACCCAGGGAUCAAACCUGUGUUUGCUGCAACUCCUGUAUUGCACGAAGAUUCUUUACUACUGAGCCACCAGGGAAAUGUUAGCCCAGAUACCCAGUGUGCCAUUUCCACUCUUUGCUGUACUAUUGCUGGUGAGA
ensembl:lncRNA